rnacentral:lncRNA from 1 species
UCAAUAGAAGUGCAACACAAAAGUCUAUUCUGAAAUGAAGAUUUGUGGCGAGAGUGAUACCAAACAUUUUUGGAUGAAGUCAGUGCACCAUCUACAUAUGCAGCAUUGGCCACAUGAAAAAAUAAAUUUUAUUGAUAGUAUAUUUAUGAACUUUUAACCCUUAACUCUGUAGUUUCUCCCAAUGAUUUGACCUUAUCAGGGUUUUUUUAUGUGUUGCAGAUUUCCUCUGAUAGUCUGAUGUUCAACUUCCCGACCAAAAUGUGUUUUUAAGUGAUACUUACCUUGAUUCCAAUUUAAGCGGAAGCUCAACUGCAGCUGAUAUUGUAUCGGUACAUAAAACUGAAGAGGGUAGUACAAGCUCAAAAAAGAAAGGAAGAGCAGCACCUCCUUCAAAUACAGGUUUACUAACUGCCAAAAUGUAUUUAAGAUCCACCAAAAGUGAAGAGGACAAUGAAAAUCAUCCAUCUAAUCCACCUACUGUUUGUCAAACUAAACAUGAAAGUGACUGUCUGGAAAUUUGGUUAGAUAUUGAUGCUCUAUCAAUGGUGCAUACAAAGAAAAAGCUCCAACAUUUAUCAAAUAUUCUCGUGGACAGUAUUAGUCGAUCUCUCACUUUAAUUGAACAAGCUCUUCUGCGUAAUUCCUCCAGUGCUCCUGUGACGCAUCACUAUUCGCUCAAUCAACUCUCUCACUUCUUUACUCUUGUGUACCCUGAAAAGUGCUUGAAGAUACUCUAA